rnacentral:misc_RNA from 1 species
GCAACAACUGUUGACCCCACAUCUGUUUCAAUUUUGCCCCAAGAUUGAGCUUCCUCAUCUCGGGCACGACCCUUGGUUCCUGUGUUGCCUUCCCGUCGAGUGGAAAAUCUCGUGAGAUAGCCCCGCCCCUUUCCCCCUCGUGGCUUUGCGGCCGCAAAGUGGACCUCGAAAGCAGUGCCUGUGUCCCUGACUGUUGUCGUGGCUGUCUCGGUCCACAGGACGACUGCUCGUGCUCUCGGAUGUGGAAAAUUAAGCGGACAUGGGGGGUCUCGGCCCCUGGUUGCUCCCAAUCAAGUCCCUCGAUAGGAAUGACUUUCGAGAUACCCUCAUUGAUCGCAGGCCGUCUAGGCCCGUGGCAUCAAUGUGGGUCCGAAGUCGAGAAAGGAUGCUACCUGGUUGAUCCUGCCAGUAGUCAUAUGCUUGUCUCAAA